AACAUGCCGGUAGCAAGGCAAACUGGCAAAGUCUGGAGUGUGUACUCAUAAACGUACUCAUGGUGUUAAUUAAUUGAAAGAUAAAUACAUGUGGUUGGCAUUUGGCUUUCCCAAUGCAAAGCGAGAGAGAGAGAGAGGCGGUAGAUGUGGGGGAGAGGAGCUCGAAAGGGACGUGUGCAUGGGGGUGAUGGAGCUUUCACUUACUCACCUGUUGUUUUCAGUAGUUAAGACGCUGUGUUGUUUACUGGCCCUUUGCUUCUUUGAUUAUUAUUUUUUUUCAAAAUACAUAGAUAUAUUUUUUGGCGAAACCCUUCGCCUUUUAGCCCUUUUACCUUGUGCUUCUUUAUCAAAUUUUGUUUUUCCUUUCACUUUGCCUCAAUUUCCGAACCCUAAACCCUACACUUUCCCCCUUCAAUCCCCGGGACAAUAGGCUUCCUUCACACUGCUUCCGCCCGUGACACACUGAUCGUAACAUAUUUAUAUAAUUUUAUCAUAAUAACAUAAUCAUGACAGUAUGAUUUAAAUUCUCACUAUGACCAAUAUUUUAUUCAUCAGUGAUUAUUGAGAGAGGUUAUUUUUGGUGACAUGACCAUUCAUUCUCCCUCGUCUUACGCAGAUACGUGUUUAUGUCAACAGAGGCCCAUCUCAGUGCACAGACUUGCACCCUGUCGGUGUUACCAACUUACCAUCUUUGUCCUUUCCUACAUUUCCAUUUUCUUUUGGCUUCUGAUAGCUAAUUUGGUUGGAAUCUUUUUCUUUUUGACGCUUCCUUUUCAUCUAGUGUUUUAGUUUAUUUCAAUUCUUUAUACAUAUAUUAUAGUUCAGUUCAUUCACAACUAUCGCCAUCCUUACUCAUUUAAGCCUAAGUGUUUCCUCUUCCCCAAAAAGUUGUGCUUUGAAGGUUAAUGUUGAUCUCUCAUGAGUGACUGGGGAGUGGGAAUGGAUGAUAUUUUAUGUGACUGGAAUCAGUAAAAGGGAAAAGAUUGUAAAGUCCAUUUGGCUUUCUCAGACCAUCGAAAUGACUCAAUUCAAAUUUUAAACUUUAAACCAUACCUCUUUAAUUUGUUUUGAAGGGAACUGAGCCCUUAGAAUCCGAGACACAUCAGACACACAUGGCUGAAAAGUCAAUUUUGAAUGAAAAAGGAAGACAAUCUGUUCUUCGGGCUACAUAAAGCAGAACCUUGACCCUGCUGUCCAGAUUUAUAUGGUCCUGAUAAUAAGAUAGGGCUAUUGCAAUUCAACGUCGUUUUAUCCGGUAAAAAAAGGGGCAAAAUGGCCUCAUAUUGCCCUGAUUCGGUCAUCCCUAUGUCUCCCAAUUAUUUUUCUGCUGGAAUUACUUUGGUGCGACAGAGCUGUUUGCUUGGUCUUUUUAUUUUUCACUGGCAAACCAAGAUUUAAAUUUCAAUACAUUUAUUGUAACAAUAUGUAUUUUAGAGUUGGGACAUAAUAGGAAACACAAAAAGAUAGACUAUAAUGUCAUGCACACAGCACUUAUGGCAGGAUCAACAAUAUUAUGUGUUGAAACAAAAUUACUAUGAUAAUGAUUAAAACCAUUAUGUGAUGCACAUAACAAAACUAUGUUGAGGAGAUUAUACUGGCCGACAACAAUUUCUGGACUACGAUUUUAACUUUGAAGCAACCUCUAACUUUUGAACUAAUUUUUUAAUAUGAAUUAGGCCUAUAAGAUUUUAUGUGGGAUUAAAGUCAGACUCAUAUACGAGUUAGCCAACACUAUCUAUCCAUUUGAUAAGGACAAAAAAAAAAAUGCUUUUGAUAGAGGAUGCUGAGGAGAAUAUCUCACAUUGACUGAGAAUAAUUCAUGGAUUAAAAAUAUAAGCUUAAGUUAAUACUCAAUUCUUGAGUUAGCUUUUGAUUAUAAGUUAGAAAAUAGACACACAAGCUUUAGACCAUUAUGACAUAGACAUACACACAUAUCUAGAAAGAAUCAAGACUAAUAUAUCAUGCACUCAUGGAAAAAAUCAUGAUCAUUAUUUGCAUAUAAAUUUAGAAGAUAAAUUCCUCGAAUAUAAUGUUUGAUGUACUCUAAAAAUCUCUCUUUGAUUGUUUUAUCUAUCAUUUUUGAAAUCAAUGGAAGUUGCCUUUUACCCAAAUAAGUAAAUUGGAGUUUUUUAAAUAAAAAAUCCCCACUGGGUGCUUAAUUUAAAUAUUAUUGAGAAUAAAUGACGGGUUUCAAUAUUAAGCCUAACAAAUUCCUUUCUCAUUGUGUGACUGCUUUGAGUCUUUGACCAAUGCAAUGAAUGAUUAUUAUACUUGUCGAAUUAUUAAAACCUUAUGAAAUAAAAGUUACUUUUUAAAACAAGCAUAAAAGUAUUCUCAUUAUAGAAUAGGAUCCGAUACUGCUAAUAAAAUAAUUAGAGUGAUGAUACAUCUAUAAAUUUUUAUACACACUGAUUUGUUAUUAAUUUAUUGGUUGAAUGAAAAUACAAAAUAAUAAAAAUAGAUCGUGUGAGCCAAAAGAUAUGUAAUUCAAUCAAGUUUGUAUAAAAUACAUUUAUAUAAAAAUUUAUAACUAUAUUAUUACUCAAAUGAUUAACAUAAAAAUGAGCACUAUUUUUUUUUUCCAAAUACUUUCGGAGACAGUAUUCCAACCACGAUCUUUGAAUUCAUUCAAUGAUGUCUAAGAUUUAAAUGUUGAAAUAAAGAGGGAUACGGUUCAUUUAAUUUCAUGGCUAAUGCUAGGCCAGUGGAUUCAGGUUACUAGACCAGCUAGCUCGAUAGCUCUAGGGGCUGACCUGCUUGACAACUUUAAUUUGGUCAUCAGCAAAUUAACUUUUCUGUAGGAUUAAGGCAGGUCAUCAGGACUCUGAUGCAGUAACCAGCCUUUACGUACUGAAUGGUGAAUUGGUGCUAUAGCUAGACUAUAGAGCAGGGCUCGAGUCCUCGUGAGCCCAUGGGUUCAGUGUACAUUAACAAACAGGUUUAACCACUUUUUGAAUGCAAGGAAAUAAGAGAGAGGUUAAUUUUGUCCUAUUCCUUAGAAUCCGAUGCAGUGUUACUUGCAAAUGUAGUGUAAUGCAUGCAUGGUGGUCCAUCAUCCAUGCAUAUAUAUAACAUGCGCACACACACACACACUCACGUAUUGAUUCAUGAAUUCGUAUGGUUGAAUCAUGAAUGUACGUACGAACGAAAAGCUAUUAUCACUGUUAAAAGCCUGCGAUGAGCUAUUUGUUGCUGUUUGUAAUUGCGUAGUGGGAUUGGGUAGAAAUCGAUAAAGUUAGAGGUAAUGAGGGGCUUGAUGAUAUUUCAUGACCGGCGUGGUCUGGCCUGGCCUUUACUUCGCUUCCCCCCAAAAUCUAAUCCUGUCUGAAUCUGCAGCUGAUUCACAUAUUUGUGAUUGAUGGAUCAUAAACUAUUCUUUUAGCUUAAUAGAUAAAUAUAAACCCCACUUGCUCUCCUAUAGCCAUGUUGCAUGGGCAAUAUUAGGGAUUUUUUUAAAUUUUUUUCCACCACGCAAACUAAGACAUAUGGCCAUUUGUAUUGUACCCAGUCCCCACUAAAGGGAUGGGUAUUGACGACGCACUGAUUUUGCGUUCCUUACAUCCAUAUCAAUCAAUUUCAAUUCCCCAAUUACUCUCCUCGUUUAACUCGGAAUAAGACAAGCUAGCUAGUGAUUCUUUUGAUCACGACGACUUCGUUUGGGAAUAUGCUACUACAGUAACAUAUCAAUUUACUGUCAAGCAAUUAAUGUGGGACGGGAAUCACAAUAUAAUGGAGAAUUUCUGUCGAAGAAAAUAUCCAUGGAAGCUAACUUAGAGAAGAAUACUUGUACUACUGUGUACAUAGUUCGUAACAGUAAAGUAUCCUUUGAGUUCAUGACCCACAUAAUAAUUUACCAUUUUAUGUGGAGGGUAUCCAUUUGAGAAAAUAAACAUGUGCAAUUUCACAUACAUCACUGUGGUUAGAAUAUCUUAUGGUUGAAAAUCUUUCAGAUUAUUUUAAAUUGACUUAAUCAACUAAACAAUCAUUUUCUUGCAACCGCAUAUGGGAUAUUUUACCCAUAUGUUGAAUAAAGACUACUAAAAAAAUAACAAUUUCAAUCAAUUAAUACUAUACAUAUAUCACUAAAUGAUUGGUGACAUACUAGUAAGUAUCUAAACUAAGUAAACUUAACAUUAAAAUGGCAAAUUGCGGGCAUAGACUGGGCUUGAUACAAGCCCAUAUGAGGAAAAGUAUAAAGGUUGGGCCUUAACGGGCCUAGGCAGGAUCUGAGCUCUUAUAUAUAUAUUUUUUCUAGAAUGUUGUAAACUUGCAAUGAGUUUAAUUAUCAACUUGAUGAUUA
rnacentral:lncRNA from 1 species